rnacentral:ncRNA from 2 species
AUCUUUACACCGGAUUUUGGUUCUGCAGAGGGUAUCGUUCUCUGCGGAUAAAAAGGGAAUCUUGUGAAAAACAAGAGCUGUCCCCGCAACUGUAAACGCCGCUAAGCUACCGUACCACUUCGGCCACUGUUCUGCCUCUGGGCAAAUGGGAAGGCAACGGUAAGGGCGUAAGCCAGGAGACCUGCCAAAGAUCCUUACUUAAC